UAAUACGUAGGGCGCAAGCGUUGUCCGGAAUUAUUGGGCGUAAAGAGCUCGUAGGCGGCUUGUCGCGUCGGGUGUGAAAGCUUGGGGCUUAACCCCAAGUCUGCAUCCGAUACGGGCAGGCUAGAGGCAGGUAGGGGAGAACGGAAUUCCCGGUGUAGCGGUGAAAUGCGCAGAUAUCGGGAGGAACACCGGUGGCGAAGGCGGUUCUCUGGGCCUGUACUGACGCUGAGGAGCGAAAGCGUGGGGAGCGAACAGGAUUAGAUACCCUGGUAGUCCACGCCGUAAACGUUGGGCGCUAGGUGUGGGGACCUUCCACGGUUUCCGCGCCGCAGCUAACGCAUUAAGCGCCCCGCCUGGGGAGUACGGCCGCAAGGCUA
rnacentral:rRNA from 1 species